rnacentral:pre_miRNA from 1 species
UCAACCCAUUUAACUUUCUAACCCAUCAAAUUAAAUGAGUUCAUGGGUUGACUCAACUCAUUUGCUUAAAUGAGUUGAGUCAACCCAUGAACUCAUUUAACUCUAAACUCAUUGGGUAAUGAGU